AUGGAAGAACUCGAGUUCUUCAUGAUCCUACUCCCAAAUUUCUUGAAGAAACUGAGGCUGCCAGACAAGUUCACCAAGUUACUCGAUGGCCGUGAGCCUCGGGAAGUGAAGCUGCGGGAGGCCGGGUGCCGACGUCGCUUGUGGGACGUGGAAGUAGUGUCCGACACCGACGGACACAUGUACCUGGGGAACGGAUGGGAGCAGUUUGCGCGUGCUCAUGACAUGCGGCUCGGACACUUCCUCGUCUUAAGCUACGAUGGCCACGCUGUGCUCACCGUGAAGGUGUUCGACGGUAGCAUGUGCCGCAGGCACUACCACCAAGACAAUGAUGCCAGCAGUGGAAGUAGCAGCGAUUGUGGCAACCCCUUGCAGGGAGCAGAGGGGGAAGGGGAAGCGCUAUCGCAGACAGGAGCAGAGGAAGACGACGGAGAGCAGUGCAUAUCCAAGAUGAGUAAUCCAUGUGAUUCAGAUGAAAGCCAGAAGGAAAGAUCUCAUUCUGCUGAGGAAUUGUCAGAAGACACUCUAUCUGUAGACAAUUCUGUGGAGUCAGCUAAUCCACAGACACUUUCAAAUAACUAUGUCUUAUCAACGCAGUGCUAUCCCACAAAAGCACAGAGGGUGAAAAUAGAUGCGCUUAUAGAGAAAAUUAAACCUAAAUUUACAGUGCUAGUUGUACAGAUGAAGAAGUCGAACGUAAAACGGCAUGCUACUCUGAUAAUACAGAAGGAUUAUGCACUUGAGCACUUUCCAUGUGAAGAUACAACUGUCAUGCUCCAGCUGCCUGGGAAAAACAAGGACUGGAAAUGCACAUUGCGCAUCAGGCCAUCCGGCGUGUCUUAUCCAGGUCAACGCAACCUCUAUUUACGCAACUUUUCCUGCGACAAUCAUGUUAGAGAAGGUGAUAUCUGCCUCUUUCAACCUAUAACAAGUGUUAAGCACAGAAGAUUCAUAGUGAAAGUGCAUAUCCUUCACAAAGUGAGCAUUGAUGACAAAGGAUUGGAAUCAGGUGGAUGCCCAAAGGAAGGCUCGUCCCGUUGUUAUAAAUCCGCAAAUACACCUGCAGUAUCUUAUAGUACUUCUAAGGAAUUUCCAGAUGAGGCUAUGGAGUUAGAUGAUCUUCAGAUGCUCUCGAAGGAUUAUGUAUUAUCAGGGAAAUGUGAUCUUACAGUAGCACAGGAGGAAAAAAUAAAUGCACUUGUAGAGAAAAUUCGAUCUGAAAUCCCCGUUCUUGUUGUACAGAUGAAGAAAAGCAGUGCAAACAAGGGGGCUACUCUGGUAAUACAGAAGGAUUAUGCACUCAAAUACUUUCCAUGUGAAGAUACGACUAUCAUACUCCAGCUGCCUAGGAAGAACAAGAAUUGGAAGUGCAAAUUUCAUAUCAGGGCAUCCGGCAUGUGUAAUGCAGGCCGGCGCACCCUUUAUUUAGCAAAAUUUGUGCAUGACACUCAUAUUAGGGAGGGUGAUAUCUGUCUCUUUCAACCAAUGACAAAUGUUAAGCACAGAAGAUUCAUAGUGACAGCCCAUCUCCUUCACAAAGAGAGCAGUGCCCAUUCCCCGGGAGGAACAACUGGCAUUGGCUCAAAUCGCGGAAGUACAAGUGCCAAGAUGGGCGGUGUGAAGGAUGAACCACCCACGGAUGGUGAAGAGUACUCUUCAGAACAUGAAGAGCAUGAAGUCUCUGAGGAUUCCGAGGGAGCUUUUGAGCAUCUCUUCAUGCUGUCAAACGGAGCUUCUCUAACACCAGCACAGAAUUUGAAAUGUCUGGAGAAAGUUGAGGGGAUUAAGUUCAAACCGCCCUUUUAUGUUGCUAUCAUGAGCAAGAGCACUGUCUGUCAGCGUGGCAGCCAACGUUGUCCCAGCCUACACUUUGGCUGUCAGUAUGCGGCCACAUAUCUUGUUCAGAAGUUUUCUGCUGACCUUCAUCGUGAAGAGAAUAGUCGAAUUAGUUUGGUGCUUCAGCGGGAGGGGAAGAGCAGAUCAUGGCCUACCAAGCUGCAAUAUAAGUAUCGCACGCGAGGCACGAGCAAUCAGAUGACCGUUCACCAUGGAUGGCCGUCUUUUGCCCGCGACAACCACCUGCGGGAUGGGGACAUCUGUCUCUUCAAGCUGAUGGAUAAUGAGGAGCAGCUGAGUAUGAUGGUCUACAUCGUCCGCCGCUAG
rnacentral:rRNA from 1 species